rnacentral:sRNA from 1 species
GUUUUUUAACUCCUAAUAUAUCUAAAUCUGUUGCAAC